CCCUUAGAUGUUCUGGGCUGCACGCGUGUUACAAUCGGGAGUACAACAAGAUUGCAAAUCCUAGUGGAUGAGUGGUUCUUCGAAAUUUUCUGAAGACUGGGAUAGUUGAUUGAAAUUAUUCAACUCAAACGAGGAAUUCCUUGUAAUUGUAAUUCAUUAUAUUGUAAUGAAUACGUCCCUGCCCUUUGUACGCACCGCCCGUCGCUCCUACCGAUUGAACGAUCCGGUGAAUUAUUUGGAGUAGCUCUGGAAGUUGCAGAACUUCCUAUGUCACGAAAUUUUGUAAACCUUAUCGUUUAGAGGAAGGAAAAGUCGUAACA
rnacentral:rRNA from 1 species